rnacentral:lncRNA from 12 species
GGUACCGCAGGGUCACUCAGGCAGCCAGGGAAGCUGACAUUGGAUGAGUCCCAGCACCUGCCUGGCCACACAUUCUAUCUAGAUUCUCACUCCAGACUCAGGGAUUAACCAAAUCCGCUGUCCCACCGAGUGAAUUCUGAUUGGUUGGUUAUGAACACAGAUGGGCCCGUUUGCUGCUCCUGCCCACCCUGGGAUGGAGGAAGGAUCCACCAUCUGUGAUACCAGUAAUCAAUGAGAUCCUCAGAUCAUUGGAUCAGAUGCCCAGGAAUGGACACAAAUACUUGAAGCAUCUCUUCUCUUCCUUCAGGACAAAUGUCACCUCUUCAGAAAGUCCUCCUCACAUCAUGGCAUCAAAGUAGGUCAUCUUAUCUAUUUUCACUUGUUUAACUCCUUAG